UAUAAAAUUUCUUAUUAAGAUGCAAAGUGUUAAGAAGUUUAUGAGAUUUGAGGGGAGGCAGGGCCAUAAGCUGGAGUGUGGGAUGUGUCUCCUAAAGCAGGGUGCUAGAGACUAGUUAUUUUUUUUUUUUUGACCAUAUGCUUUAGAACAGCUGUGUAGAGAAAUCAAAUAAGGCCAGCGGACAGGUCUGGGAAUGCAGAUAUGAGAGAAAUAAAUGGAAUCUCACCUGCGAAGGUAGAUAACAAUGACAUCUGACAUUGUAGUCUAUACUUUGAGAGGAAAAAGCAAGCAUCUCUCUUGAUAGUACUUAUCUAGGACUUGUCCACAAAUAGGCUAGGUGUUUUAAUUUCCUGUACACUCUUGAAAUUAGCAUAAAAAUGGUCCCAAGCUACUUAUACAUUUAGAACACCUGGUUAAAGCCAAAACCCAAUGUCCCGGGAGGUAUUUACCCUCAACCCAGAUGGUACUUCCCGAGAUAAAGUCUCACACAACAUGAGGUCACAAUCUAAAAUUAUAAUGAACACAAGAAUCCAAUUUACUACAAAAUAGCAGAUGUCACAAAGAACAAUGUUUGAUCCUCAGAAUGCCAAGCUUGUUAGACUUCGAUUACAGAGAGCACAAGAUAUAAGUGAAUAAUGGAAGAUAUGAAAGAAAAACCCCUAUUACAUCAACUUGCUAGUAGGAAUGGGUGAGAGAAGAACUUAAAUUCUGGAUAUAUAUUGAAGACAGAUUUAAAUGGUUGGAGAAGUUGGGACAGAAAAGAGAGUUCACAUUUCAGACAUGGUUUUGUUCAGAACAAAUAGAGAUCAAGAACAAAUACACAUUGAUGAAAAUUAUUAGAAAUAAACACGAUAGAUUGCUCUGUUUAUUAGGAAGACGGGAGUACUCUAAGCUUAUAUGUUCUUACUAACAGAGACUGAAUAUUGGGUAAAGCUGAGGAUCACCAGAUGUUAUAGGAAUUUUUACCAUGAGAGAGGACAAUUUUUAAAGAAAUCUAUUCUAGUUACUGAGAGAGCAGAGAAGGAAAAAUGAAAAUGUUCAUUACCCCAAUGGCAUAGCAUCAUGAUUAACAACUACAACAACAACAAAAACAACAACAACAACAACAAACCCCUGUCUCUCCUAAUGGAUAAGAGCAAAUCAUAAACCAGGAGGAAUUGAAAAAAGAUUUAAAAGGUAGCAUUAAAGCAUCAGUUCCAAAAAUCUUUAUUCAAGGUAAACAAACAAACAACCCUACCUACCUUUCAGAAAGGUAGCUACCCAGCUUUAAAAGUUACAUGCUUUAUCAUAACUUCUCUCUGUACACAGCUGCAUAGGUUUUCUAUAUUCCUUAUUUAGAAGAAAUCCUAGUUCUCUUUGGAGGAAAAUACAAGGCAAUCUGUGACAUCUGAUUUCAGGACGGCUGCCCUCACCUCUCAGAGAUGCUCACUCCUAUGCCCAUCCACACCCUCCCUCAGAUGCCUUCCUUGCCUCACAGUGAAAGUCAGGGUGAGUCUAAGGGUGGAGGUGGGGGGAACACAAACUUGAAGAUUGAACAUUUGCUCUUGAUUAGAAGAAUGUGUCGUAUUUGUGUGGGGCAGAGAGGAGGGGAAUGGUGGGCUCUUGCAUGAUCUAUUAAUAAGAACCAGUUUAAACAGCAGCUUAUGAAAGCAAGGCUAAUUCCAAAGCCAAAAGCCCCACAUUCUUAACUUUCCCACUAACUUUGGACCCAGUCUCUGCAGAGUCAGUCCCAGAACUGGAACAUGAUUCUUUGAAGGCAAAGCCAACAUUUAGAAAUCUGAAAUUGAGCUCAGGGCACAGCAUAGGGUGGCCAUUCAGGAUGUUAUUUAACACCGUUAGACAGGAUGUCAAUCUGUUUGAUAUCUUUAUUUGUUUCAUGUGCUUGUGAAGAAAGCAUUUAUGGGCAUUUUUUUGCUUUACAUGUAUUUUGUUACAGGGUAUUUAUUUUCAAUUGUCAGGGAAUCUUAAAGUCCCCUGCCUCCAGAAGAUAGGGUAUUUACCCAACAAUUUUUGGAUCUUGGAAAAAUGAACACAAAUGAUCUUUUUAAAAUCUCUUUUGUCCCCUGAAGGAUGCACAUUUAACACUAUUACUCAGGACGUGUUCAGAAAGGAUGAUUAUCCUGGAGAAUCAGCUAACUUAACUGAAAUGGUUAUACAGCUUAAUUACCUUAUCCAUAGUCCUCCAGCAUAACCCCUUUCCAUUCCAUAGAAGCUGAAGAUUAAAGCACACAAUCUAUACAGCAAAGAGUCAGGUAGAAUGCAGAGGCUACGAGCAUCACAUUUAAGUGGAUGCCCUUGAUUAUCGCUUUUGCCAGCCUCCAGACAUAAGAACCAAAUGGCCCACAUUCCACAUUCUUUAUCUCCCUCUUCUCUUUUCCCUUCCUUGUCAGUUUUGUUUGUUUACAGAAUGUAGAAUGAAAUCCUAAUUGGUAACUCUCCAUGAAUUGACUAGCUUUGCAAAAUAUGGAAAAAAUAAGAAAUUAGAAAUACGCAUUCCCUUUGUAUAUAAUAUAUGGGAAAGGCGGCCUUCGAAGAGAGAUCAGUAAAUAAAAUGCUUGCUUUGUCAGCAAGAGGACUUCGGUUUGAUGCCCAAAACUCACAUAAGAAAGCCACUCAUAGUGGUUCACACUGAAAAUCACAGGGUAGAUAAACAGGCACAAGUGGAUUUCUGUGACUCACUAGCCAGCCAGCCUAUGCUACAUAGUGUGUUUCAGCCCAGUGAAAGACCCAAUAUAAACAAACAAACAAACUAAUGAACGAAUAAAAGUGGGUGGUGCUUGAGAAGGAAUAAGAGCUAAAAUUGAGUUCUGACUUCCAUAUGUACCCACACACAUGCAUAGGCACACACAUGUGCCUAAGCAUGUAAAUGCAUAUGUAUACAUGCACACAAAGUAAAAAAAAAUACAGAUAGAAUUAAAAACUAGCUGCAGUUGGAAAUACUUCCCACCAUAGAUAAGGAAAUAUAAAGAGAAAAAUAAGGAAUGAGAAUGGACCUCGAUGUUAUCUGUUUAACAACUAACAGUGUAAGCCUGUGACAACACCAUGCCUAUAUGUUGUAGCUACAGGAAUAGAACUUUCAAUGCUUUGAGCUGCCACAGUAAAAUACAUUAAAUUGAGUGAUUACAAAAAGUAUGGAGAUUUUGUCUUGGCCAAGACCAAAGCACUAACUGGUUUGGAAGUGAGGAGUGAUCUGACACUUAUGCUGACAGCAUGUUUGUGGUGGCCCCAUCCAGGAAUGAUAAAUGCUAUCACUUCACAGAACAGAAGGGAUAGGAGGUCCAAGGGGACCUUGACUAUGUCCUGCAAACCAUUAUUACUUCACCCACAAUGGCAAAUCCUCAUGGCUUAAUUACCUCACUCUAGCAUAGCCACUUCAUACCAGAAUGGUGGGGUUAAGUGUCAAUGCAUAAGUAUGGGGUACAUGCAGACCACAGCAGAUAAGCUCUAAAACUCGGAACUCCCUGCUGAAGAGGGGUGACGCUGAUCACUUAAGUGAGACCACAUGGUCCGAGUGCAUCAGGUGAUGUUCUACUGUUGCAGUCUGUCUAGCCUCAGUGAAAAGAACCAACUGUCAAUACUGAGAUUUUGAAACAGCCUGUGAGGUUAUGUGAGAUGUCAUAUAGGUUUUAAAAACUUAUCACCAAGAAAGAUUCUGAUAGGGCCACAUAUCUUUUUCAAAUUUGAGAAAGAAAAUAGAAAUAUCGUAUUUUAUUAAAGGUUUAAUUUUAUUUUAUAUGUGUGUUUUGUCUGUGUGUGUCUAAUCUGGACAUGUGUGCAAUGCCCACAGAAACCAGAAUAUGGUAUCAGAUUCUAUGUAACUGGAGUUGUAGGUGGCUAUGAGCCACCGUGUGGAUCCUAGGAGCUGAACUUGGGACUCUGUGAGAACUGCCAGUGGUCAUAACCAUUAAGGCAUCUCUCCAGCCCAGAAAUACAAUGUUUACUAUGGAUAGAAAUUUAAUACCUUGUGUUUUCCAAGAACUUAUGCACACUUUCUCUUAAAUAGAUCUAUGGAUUAAGAAAAAAAGACAAGGGACUGGACAGAUUGCUGAACAGUUCAGAGCACUGGCCGCUGGCCCUGUGAACAUGGGUUCAGUUCCCAGCACCCACAUGGUGGCUCACAAUCACCUAUAACUCCAGUUCCAGGGCAUCUCUGACCUCAGGUACAAUGCAUACAAGGUAUACAAUAACAAACAUCGUGAUUUCCAAACAGUCAAGAGGAGUUUUGACAGCUGCUGAUCCAUGGAGCAACAGCAAAAAUGGUGGGAUCUGCCCUGGUUUCUGAUGCAGCCAUGUCAGACAGCAGAGCCAAAGACUACUCUCCCAUAAGGAAGCAGUUCUGAAAGGCCAGUGGGAGGAGGCUGUCUGGAAUACUUGAGCCCUGAUCAGAUAAAGACAAGCACACUCAAGCCCUUUUCAGUGAGGUGAUGACCAAGAGGCAUGCCUAUUCUUAUGGGCAUGGGACAAAAGGACAAAGGGGACUCACACACUCAAAGAUAGAAGGGACAUUAAAACUGAUAGGAGCCUGGUAUAGCUGUCCACCUGAGAGAUUCUGGGAGAACUGGACCAAUACAGAUGUGGAUGUACACAGCCAAACAUUGGUCUGAGCAAGGGGACCCCAAUGGUAGGUAAGGGUUUGCAACCUC
rnacentral:lncRNA from 1 species